rnacentral:rRNA from 1 species
UACAGAGACUGCAAGCGUUAUUCGGAUUCACUGGGCGUAAAGGGUGCGCAGGCGGCCAAGUGUGUCAGGUGUGAAAUCCCGAGCUUAACCUCGGAACUGCGCCUGAAACUACUUGGCUAGAGUACUGGAGAGGGUAACGGAAUUCACGGUGUAGCAGUGAAAUGCGUAGAUAUCGUGAGGAACACCAGAGGCGAAGGCGGUCUCCUGGAGCAUACUUGACGCUGAGGCGCGAAAGCUGGGGGAGCGAACGGG